rnacentral:lncRNA from 1 species
CAGCUGCCUCUAACCUCCCAGAUGGGAGGAGAGGAGAGAGCUGCGGCAGGUCAGUGCUCUGGGUGCAGGCCCUCCAUACUGGCUGACUCCCAGGUCCCCUGGGGAGUCCAUGAUAUACCCAGCUCUAGGCCCCAGCCAGACCGAUCGGUCUGGAUCUCUGAGGAUUCUCUCAAUAAAAAGCUGCAACAAAACCUCAAUAUGGUCUGGAGCCAACUAUGCAGAAGCGAAGCAGGGAUGUCACAAAUCCUUUUUCCCCUGAGCUGGACGACCCCGGCUGCUCAGGCUCUCCCCUCCAGCUGGGCUUCACAUCUCUUACGACCCACCCAACGUGAAUGUUGCUGUAGCCUCUGUGCAGCCCCGAGGAGGCUAGCUUCACCCGCCUGUACCCGCACGCUCCCUCGGGCCGCCUCCUCGCCAGUUCUGUUUGGAAGACUGCUGGCCUGCUGGGUCCGGCCUUCGACGUGUGGCCUUCCCCUGAGCACAGGAAAGUGCAUACAGGGUGCGUCUGAAGGUUACUUGGCUGCUGUUUUAAUGGAAUAGAAGAACAUGUCUUUGGUCUUUAAAAAUUCAAGAGGCAGGAACCAACUCUGGAAAAGCCCUGUUCUGGUCAGAUUAAGAAGCAGGAGGUUAGAACCGCUGUCGGGUCAGCGUUGGGGCGAUGCUCGUCUCGAGUGUGCAGGCUUGACGUCGGGCGCCCUGGGGCCCUCACCAGUCGCACGCUCUCCCGCAGACACUCACUGUCCCCCUGCCCUGGUUUCACCGGCCUGCAUCCUCCUUCCUCCUGCAGAGGAUGUGCCCCCUCAGGCAGAGACCUCAGUUUCCACUCGCCUCAGCGUCUGUGCGCGGCACCUGCCUGGCCGAGCCCCGCGUGUCCCCUGGGUCUGUGCUCAGUGCUCGGGCUGGGCUGCCCGGGCUGGGGAUGGCCGGCAGCAUCACAAACCUCUCUGGGGAGGCUGGUCUGUGCCGGGCACUGAACCACGUGCUCUUCAUGGGUUAUUUCAUUUACUCCUCAUAGUGAAUGUAUGCGAUGGGGCAUACGACUGUCUCCAUUACAGAUGGGUCUGAGGUUGCCCAAGGCCACGAGACAGGGGACUGGGCAGGGUUCCAGGGACACUUCUGGGGUGUCCUCUGGGAUUAGAAGAAUGCAGACCCCAUGGUCCUGCUCUGUGGUAACUCCACAAAUUCCCGAGUCUUCUCAGGUUCUGCCCGUGAGCAGUGAUGAUAACCAGAGGGAAGGAAGGCAGGAACAGGGAGAAACCAGGGAGAAUUAGCACAUGAUCUGUGAUUAUUUCUUAGAGAAAAUGGAAAAGAUGUUUGCAUAUGUUUUCAUCAACCUUAAAACACCUGCCAUAUCUCUGUCCCUCUGUCCAUCAGUGAAUGUUAGAGGGACUGAGG